rnacentral:snRNA from 1 species
GUGCUCACUUCAGCAGCACAUAUACUAAAAUUGGAACGAUACAGAGAAGAUUAGCAUGGCCCCUGCACAAGGAUGACACACAAAAUCAUCUAUUUUU